rnacentral:rRNA from 1 species
CCCUUAGAUGUUCUGGGCAGCACGCGCGCUACAAUGGUCUUCGCAAACGGAUGCAUUCUCGAAGGAGAAUGCCAAUCUUGGAAUCUAUGCCUUGGUCGGGACAGUUGCUUGCAAUUUUUCGACUCGAACCAGGAAUUCCUUGUAAUCGUGAUUCAUCACAUCACGAUGAAUACGUCCCUGCCCUUUGUACACACCGCCCGUCGCUCCUACCGAUCGAAGAGUUAGGUGAAUUGUUUUGAUCCAUAAGAUUUGACUAUGGUCAACUCUCGUUGUGAAAUUCUGUGAAUCUGACUGUUUAGAGGAAGGAAAAGUCGUAACA